UCAAGUGAAUAAGUGCAUAUGGCGGAUGCCUUGGCGAUUACAGGCGAUGAAGGACGUGGUAGUCUACGAAAAUUUUCGGGGAGCUGGCAAACAAGCUUUGAUCCGGAAGUGUCCGAAUGGGGAAACCCACCCGCAAGGGUAUCUGUCUCUGAAUACAUAGGAGACAAGAGGCGAACCGAGUGAACUGAAACAUCUAAGUAACUCGAGGAAAAGAAAUCAACCGAGAUUCCGAUAGUAGUGGCGAGCGAAAUCGGAGCAGCCUGUUAUUUUUAGCACACGUGUUAGUAGAACGGAAUGGAAAGUCCGGCCAUAGAGGGUGAUAGCCCCUUAUACGAAAACCCGUGUGUGGAACUAGGGUAACGACAAGUAGGGCGGGGCACGUGAAACCUUGUCUGAACAUGGGGGGACCAUCCUCCAAGGCUAAAUACUCGUAAUCGACCGAUAGUGAACUAGUACCGUGAGGGAAAGGUGAAAAGAACCCCGGGAGGGGAGUGAAAUAGAUUCUGAAACCGUAUGCAUACAAACAGUAGGAGCCCUUCGGGGUGACUGCGUACCUUUUGUAUAAUGGGUCAGCGACUUACAUUCAGUAGCAAGCUUAACCGAUAGGGAAGGCGUAGCGAAAGCGAGUCCUAAUAGGGCGUCUUAGUUACUGGGUGUAGACCCGAAACCAAGUGAUCUAUCCAUGGCCAGGAUGAAGGUGCCGUAACAGGUACUGGAGGUCCGAACCCACAAAUGUUGAAAAAUUUGGGGAUGAGCUGUGGAUAGGGGUGAAAGGCUAAACAAACUUGGAGAUAGCUGGUUCUCUCCGAAAACUAUUUAGGUAGUGCCUCGUAUAUCAUUCUCGGGGGUAGAGCACUGUUAUAGCUAGGGGGGUCAUAAGACCUUACCAAACUAUUGCAAACUCCGAAUACUGAGAAAUGCAAUUACGGGAGACAGUCCAUGGGUGCUAACGUCCGUGGACAAGAGGGAAACAACCCAGACCGACAGCUAAGGUCCCAAAUGACGUGCUAAGUGGAAAACGAAGUGGGAAGGCAUAGACAGCUAGGAGGUUGGCUUAGAAGCAGCCAUCCUUUAAAGAAAGCGUAAUAGCUCACUAGUCGAGUCGUCCUGCGCGGAAGAUGUAACGGGGCUAAGCACGUAACCGAAGCUUCGGGUGCAUAUUUAUAUGCACGGUAGGAGAGCGUUCUGUAAGCCUGCGAAGGUGUCUUGUGAAGGAUGCUGGAGGUAUCAGAAGUGCGAAUGCUGACAUGAGUAGCGAUAAAGGGUGUGAAAAGCACCCUCGCCGAAAGCCCAAGGUUUCCUGCACAACGUUCAUCGGUGCAGGGUGAGUCGGCCCCUAAGGCGAGGCAGAAAUGCGUAGUCGAUGGGAAACAGGUUAAUAUUCCUGUACCUCAAUUUAAUGCGAUGUGGGGACGGAGAAGGUUAAGUCAGCCGGGUGUUGGAUGUCCCGGUUCAAGCGUGUAGACAGAUUCUUUAGGCAAAUCCGGAGAGUCAAUGUCAAGGCGUGAUAACGAGUGAGCUUGCUCAUGAAGUGACUGAUACCAUGCUUCCAAGAAAAGCCACUAAGCUUCAGUUAAGUUGAGACCGUACCGCAAACCGACACAGGUGGGCAGGAUGAGAAUUCUAAGGCGCUUGAGAGAACCCAGGAGAAGGAACUCGGCAAACUAGCACCGUAACUUCGGGAGAAGGUGCGCCCCGGUAGGUUGUAGCAAUUUACUUGCGAAGGCCGAUGGGGUUGCAGUGAAAAGGUGGCUGCGACUGUUUAAUAAAAACACAGCACUGUGCAAACACGAAAGUGGACGUAUACGGUGUGACGCCUGCCCGGUGCCGGAAGGUUAAAUGAUGGGGUGCAAGCUCUUGAUUGAAGCCCCGGUAAACGGCGGCCGUAACUAUAACGGUCCUAAGGUAGCGAAAUUCCUUGUCGGGUAAGUUCCGAC
rnacentral:rRNA from 1 species